rnacentral:rRNA from 1 species
CUUAAGGGGCGCUGUAUGCUUAGUACGGCGAGUGAGCGGCAAAAGCUCAAAUUUGAAAUCUGGCACCUUCGGUGUCCGAGUUGUAAUUUGAAGAAGGUAACUUUGGAGUUGGCUCUUGUCUAUGUUCCUUGGAACAGGACGUCACAGAGGGUGAGAAUCCCGUGCGAUGAGAUGCCCAAUUCUAUGUAAAGUGCUUUCGAAGAGUCGAGUUGUUUGGGAAUGCAGCUCUAAGUGGGUGGUAAAUUCCAUCUAAAGCUAAAUAUUGGCGAGAGACCGAUAGCGAACAAGUACAGUGAUGGAAAGAUGAAAAGAACUUUGAAAAGAGAGUGAAAAAGUACGUGAAAUUGUUGAAAGGGAAGGGCUUGAGAUCAGACUUGGUAUUUUGCGAUCCUUUCCUUCUUGGUUGGGUUCCUCGCAGCUUACUGGGCCAGCAUCGGUUUGGAUGGUAGGAUAAUGACUAAGGAAUGUGGCUCUACUUCGGUGGAGUGUUAUAGCCUUGGUUGAUACUGCCUGUCUAGACCGAGGACUGCGUCUUUUGACUAGGAUGUUGGCAUAAUGAUCUUAAGCCACCCGUCUUGAAACACGGACCAAAUUCCA